UACGGAGGGGGCUAGCGUUGUUCGGAAUUACUGGGCGUAAAGCGCGCGUAGGCGGAUCUGCAAGUCGGGAGUGAAAUCCCGAGGCUCAACCUCGGAACUGCCUUCGAUACUGCGGGUCUCGAGUCCGGGAGAGGUGAGUGGAAUUCCUAGUGUAGAGGUGAAAUUCGUAGAUAUUAGGAAGAACACCAGUGGCGAAGGCGGCUCACUGGCCCGGUACUGACGCUGAGGCGCGAAAGCGUGGGGAGCAAACAGG
rnacentral:rRNA from 1 species